rnacentral:lncRNA from 1 species
AAAGGCUACUCUUUUUGUUUUCUUUUUCUUCUUCUAAUUUCAAAAAGAUUUGGUUUUUAGGUUUUUAAACCUAAAAAAAAGGGGGAACUGAGAAAAAAUUUUGGCCACGACGAAGGCUUGCCGGACCCCACGGCCAAAUUCUGGGCCAUGCCCAUAGAGAAAAAAAUAGAGAAAUGAUUCUUCUUUUUUUUUUAAUCUGGUUACAAAAUGAUUCUUUUUUGUUGGUAUUUUAACUUAUAUAGUUAACACCAAACAACGUCGUUUCGAAAGGGUCCAUAAGCCCUAAAAACGACGUCGUUUUGGGGCAAAACUCGAAGUCUGACCUGCCCUUUAAUAGGAUCCGCGUUUUUUGCUAUCCACGAGUUAUUUGCGGUUUCGACCCUUCUGCCUUUUAUCCGUUUUUCAAUCCAGUCCAUCUAUUUUACAUAUUUACAAAUUUCACCUUAUAAUUUUAUUUCUGGUUUAUUUGGUCCCCUAAAAAACGAAGCGCAUAAGGACAAGGGAUAUUUCCCUUUUCAGUCACUGUCUUUUUUAGCGCUUUAAAUUUUAACCCUUAUUGGCCUAUUUUUUAUUUUUGCAAUUUAUAUCCCUAGUUUCCUUUAAAUUUCAAUUAAAUCCUUUAUUUAGUUAAUUUCAACUUUUUCAUGGGAUUUUUUUAUUUUUAUUUUAUUUUUUUAUUGUUUACUUAUUUAUUUAUCUAUUGCAACUUCAUCUUUUCAUGAAUUUUUCUGUUUAUUUUUAUUAUUUACUUAUUUAUUCAUUUAUUUAUUAUUUUCUUGCUUUUUAUUUUAAAAUUUAUGUUGUUCAUACUUGUACAUUUUUGCUCUAUUGUCAUUAUUAUUUCAUUUUUCUAUUUCUUUUAUUUUUGAUUUUAUUUUUUUGUUAUAUUAUUGCUUAUCAUGCAUUUUCCAUUUUAUUUUAUUUUCAAGAUUACCUUAUUUAUUUUAUUAAUAUUAUGAUUUGAUCAUUAAUAUUAUUGUUAUUAUUAUUGUACAAGCCCAAUGUUGCCCGGGCCCAUAAACAAAUAAAAUAUAACAGCCCAACAAAUAAUUUUACAAGUCCAAACUCAAUAGGCCUAAAACUAAACCCUAACCCAGCUAAUCUUAAAAAUUUUCAGCAAGCCCCAAGCCUCCAGCCGCUCCCCCUUCUUCAGCCACCGCUUCCACCAUUGGCCUUCCCACGCAUGCCGCCUCGGCCACCACGCCCCUGACCGUCGCUUCUUCCACGCGUCACAUGGCACCUACAACAGAAACAAAUACAAGGGCAAGAGAAAGCAUGCGAAUGAUGGGAAAAAAAAUAAACAAAGGAACAAAAAACAAAAAAAUAUGGAAUGAAUGUUUGGUAGAUCGGCUUUAAAAAGCCCGAAUCUAUCAUUUGUAAAGGGGGGGAAUGAUUUGGUAUUUUGGGGGUUUUGUUCUUUAUUUUGAAUACAAAAAAGAGGUUACAGAAUAUUAAUCAAAAAUUUUCAAAGCAAAGAGGUGAUUGUUCUUUUUUUUUUCUCUUUCGAUUCGACCCAAUAUUUCACUGUUUUUUUUUUUUUGCGUGGUUCUUCUUUCUUUUUUCGUUUUUUUGGACUGUUUAUAAAAAGAAAAGAAAAGGAUAAAAGCGGGUAACUGACCUGAAUCGUAGACCGUUGGUAUAUAUCGGAGUUUCUUCUCUGUUGAAACCAAAUCUAAUAAAGAGGGUGAUACUAUCUUUUUGAUUCUUUGCUAUCAUAGAGGUUAGAAUCUUGAUCGCAAGUCUGAACGGGGUUAGAAUCCGAAUGGGCCACCGUUGGCGGUGGCUACAUGGCAGCUUGGGCUUGUCUUCUUUGGGGUUUGAAAGGAUGAAAAAGGGAAGGGUUGAUAGAGGUGUUAAAGAGGGCUUUAUAUGCUUGAGGAUUGGGGGGUAUUUUCC